rnacentral:rRNA from 1 species
CCUACGGGAGACAGCAGUGGGGAAUAUUGCACAAUGGGGGAAACCCUGAUGCAGCGACGCCGCGUGAGUGAAGAAGUAUUUCGGUACGUAAAGCUCUAUCAGCAGGGAAGAAAAUGACGGUACCUGACUAAGAAGCCCCGGCUAACUACGUGCCAGCAGCCGCGGUAAUACGGAGGGGGCAAGCGUUAUCCGGAUUUACUGGGUGUAAAGGGAGCGUAGACGGCAGCGCAAGUCUGGAGUGAAAACUACGGGCUUAACUUGUAGACUGCAGUUGAAACUGGUUUUCUUGAGUGAAGUAGAGGUUGGCGGAAUUCCGAGUGUAGCGGUAAAAUGCGUAGAUAUUCGGAGGAACACCGGUGGCGAAGGCGGCCAACUGGGCUUUAACUGACGCUGAGGCUCGAAAGUGUGGGGAGCAAACAGGAUUAGAUACCCGGGUAGUC